rnacentral:misc_RNA from 1 species
AAGUCGUAACAAGGUUUCCGUAGGUGAACCUGCGGAAGGAUCAUUACCAAUUAAUCCAAAAAACACUCAACCCAUGUGCACGAUGACUGAAAUGUCUGUUCUUGGGGUGGAGCUUUCAAGUUUCACCCCAUAUUUAUACAAACCCUUUGUAUAUUUCUUGGCAUCUUGUCGUUUUAAAAAUAAAAACAAAGGACAACUUUUAACGGUGGAUCUCUUGGCUCGU